GCCCUUUGACAGUGGAUAACUUAAACGAUCCAACCAACCUGGAACCGCUCACUCCUAAUCAUCUUAUCACCAUGAAGUCUACUCCAGCAGGGAUGUUCAUCAAGGAAGACCUCUAUGGACGCAAAAGAUGGCGACAGGAAACGGUUUGUUAAUGGAAAUUACGGAGUUGUUGCUGGGUCAGUGAAUGUGCCACAAAGGUAACUGUUUUCAACGGUUGAACGCGCCACAAGAACGAGGUGCGCUCGAAAGCGAAAAAGGUGGACACGACGGAGAACUGAAAAUAGUACACGGGGAGAGACGUCAAGGAAGAAAGAGGCAAAUUACGGCGACGGUAUUUUUUGUUUUGGUUUGUUUAGCUCCGGUCAAAGUGGCAACGAGGUUUGAGGUGACCUCCACAAUAAAGAAAGGCUUCAGACCACCAGUAAAGCUGCGCUGUGAAGAAAGUAAGAUCUCGGAACUUCUGCAGUGCUGUCGUCAAUGUCGAAGACCACGUGUAGAAGCUAUCGUAUACAGCGAACAGCAGGCAACAGAAGUUGGUCUGAUACCUGGAGCAACAGGAAUAAGGGACAGUGACCUGAAAAUGGAGGAUGCACCAUGCUCAUCUGCAGCAUCGAAACAAAGCCACCAAGGAAACUCUCUAUAACGACACACCUCGUCGCACAGAACGUGCUAGAGUCCCAACAGAAAAGAUGGCUGCUUAUCAAAGAGAACAAAUGAGCAAUAAGGAAAGAAGCUAAUCAGCCCAUAUGAGCUUGAUUUUUUGACUGGACGCUACAACUAGCGUCACGUUAUUUCUAAUGGACUUGAAGCAACAACAUUCCUUCAAAGUCAUUUAUCCAGCUAAUGCAAAAAUAUGGUCUAAUAAUGAGGUUGUAGCAACGACAAAAGAACAAAACAGCUAAACUUUGGAAAUAUGAUCUGAUGAGUCCAAAUUUCUUUGCACCUUCAAAGAUAUAAUCAGACAUUUUUACAUAGUAACUUAAGAAACGGUUGUUGCUUCAAAAUGUUUCCUUUGUCAGAGAACAAACUUCUAUAUAAAGUCGUGCAUCUAAAAGACACACAUUGAUUUCGCUUCAUCCUCUAACGGUCGCGGAAACAAAUAAUUCUAUAAUUCUUUCCUACCGCAAAACAGGUCCUC